rnacentral:rRNA from 1 species
UACGUAGGGACCGAGCGUUGUCCGGAUUCAUUGGGCGUAAAGAGCUCGUAGGCGGCCACUCAAGUCGAAUGUGAAACCUCGAGGCUUAACCUCGAGCCUGCAUUCGAUACUGGGCGGCUAGAGUCUGGUAGGGGGAUCUGGAAUUCCUGGUGUAGCGGUGGAAUGCGCAGAUAUCAGGAGGAACACCGGUGGCAAAGGCGGGAUCCUGGGCCAGUACUGACGCUGAGGAGCGAAAGCGUGGGGAGCAAACAGG